rnacentral:lncRNA from 1 species
AUUCCACUUGUUGGGGGCCUAUUCUAUAGCCUAUACAGGUCUUAGAGUCUCAAAUGUCCUGGCCUUGAAUCGAAUUAAUAUACUUUCUCAUCCCGUCUGUUUUUCGAAGAGUCAUUUGAACUAUUUGCUUUCUCAAAUCUUUGCUUUCUCAAAUCUUUGCUGGUAUGCGUCGGAUUUCGAUCAGGUUACAUUCCACGACUGAUGAUCAUCUCGUUGAUCUAUCCAACGCCCAGUGUAUCCCCGCCCCUCUGGCCACACCCAUCCCUGUUAGCGAUGAGCCCAGUGGCCACGCCCUGUGCUGACCUAAUCAGAUAGCCCCAGUACAGGCCUGCCCCGCAUGCCCUACUCUGUCCCCGUGUCGGAGCACAUGGAGGAGUGCAGCGUGAUCCCUGACGAUCUGGACAGCCUGCUUGGGGGAUGACUGCAUCUCCGAGAAAGUCAGCGAGUCACAGAGCCCAGUCCAAGGUGCUAUCCCCACCAACCUCCCCAACACAGCUGUGGGCCUGCACCCUCCAUACUCCUCCAGCCCCCUCACCCCAGCUACCCCCUGCCUUCUUCAGCUUCACUGUCAGCCAGAUGUCCGCUCUGGAGACCUACCCCUCGCUGGGCCAGAGGGACCAGACCUCCACACAGGUGCUGGAUGCCCUGGGGGCCUUUUCCCCGGAGGCUGGGGACACAGAGGGCAAAGGAGGGGCUGGAAUUGGAGGGCUGGACUCCCUCUCUGAGUACAUCUUGCCUGACAUAUGA